rnacentral:lncRNA from 1 species
GUGAGGUGGAAACAAGAGCACGUAUUAAUGCCAGAGUCAAUUCCAAAGGUUUAAAAGACCUCGGUCAUAAAUAUGAUAAUGAAAGACAAAGUAUUUAUAUUAAAUCAGUUUAGUAGCUUUCAGUUUUGUGAAGAUAGUUUUCAGCGCAGAAACAGACUUAUAGAUGAAGUUUUAACCAGUGAUGGUGUUUGCUUCUAGGAUGUGUACUCUAAAAGAACUCACUGUCUGGUGGUCACUGAUGGCCUGUAGUAGACUGGAGCUGCUUAACGGUUUGAUACCUAACUUCUAAUCACGAUGACCUGUCCUUACCAAGAGCAAAGCAAGACAUAGCUGUGGCUUUGCUUCUGUAACCAGCUCAUGGGGUGUGAAUGUCAUGAAGUUGUCUCGCUGAUAUAUUUUUAAUGUCAUGUUAUAUGAGAUGAUCAUGUGAUGUGUACAGACUAUGUUGAGAAGUGCCAGUGGUAGUAACUGUAAAGUCUGACUCACACCAUUAAUCCCUCUAAAGUACACAGCCUUCUGCCUCUGUGUGGAGUUGUCAGUACAGCUCGUCAAAGAAAACUGCCUAAUAUAAAAAUCAUAUAUAUGGUGAUAAUUUUCCCUCUUUUGUAGUCUGCACAAGAUCCAUAAAAGAUUGUAUUUUUAUUACUAUUUAACGAGUGAUUAAAUGUAGUCUGCACAGUGAGCAAGAGUUCACAAUUCUUUUUAUACUGCUGGAUUUUGUUGUGCAUCAUUUAAAACAUUUUGUAUGUUUCUUAUCUGUGUAUACAGUAUGUUCUUGAAUAAUGUUCAUUUGUCGGGAGAACUGUGAGAAAUAAACGAUGUGGAUAUGUUUGUUUAUAUCAU